UACGAAGGGGGCUAGCGUUGUUCGGAAUUACUGGGCGUAAAGCGCACGUAGGCGGAUUUGUAAGUCAGGGGUGAAAUCCCGGGGCUCAACCUCGGAACUGCCUUUGAUACUGCAAGUCUCGAGUCCGAUAGGGGUGAGUGGAAUUCCUAGUGUAGAGGUGAAAUUCGUAGAUAUUAGGAAGAACACCAGUGGCGAAGGCGGCUCACUGGAUCGGUACUGACGCUGAGGUGCGAAAGCGUGGGGAGCAAACAGG
rnacentral:rRNA from 1 species